AGAGUUUGAUCAUGGCUCAGAACGAACGCUGGCGGCAUGCCUAACACAUGCAAGUCGAACGCCUGUAGCAAUACAGGAGUGGCGCACGGGUGAGUAACGCGUGGGAACCUGCCCUGGAGUGGGGGAUAACCGAGAGAAAUUUCGGCUAAUACCGCAUACGUCCUGAGGGAGAAAGAUUUAUCGCUCUAGGAGGGGCCCGCGUCGGAUUAGCUAGUUGGUGGGGUAACGGCCUACCAAGGCAACGAUCCGUAGCUGGUCUGAGAGGAUGAUCAGCCACACUGGGACUGAGACACGGCCCAGACUCCUACGGGAGGCAGCAGUGGGGAAUAUUGGACAAUGGGGGAAACCCUGAUCCAGCAAUGCCGCGUGAGUGAUGAAGGCCUUAGGGUUGUAAAGCUCUUUCGGCGGGGACGAUGAUGACGGUACCCGCAGAAGAAGCCCCGGCUAACUUCGUGCCAGCAGCCGCGGUA
rnacentral:rRNA from 1 species